rnacentral:rRNA from 1 species
AUUGAACGCUGGCGGCAGGCCUAACACAUGCAAGUCGAGCGAGCGGCGGACGGGUGAGUAAUGUAUGGGGACUGCCCGAUAGAGGGGGAUAACUACUGGAAACGGUGGCUAAUACCGCAUACUAUCGGAUAACCCAUAUGGGAUUAGCUAGUAGGUAAGGUAAUGGCUUACCUAGGCGACGAUCCCUAGCUGGUCUGAGAGGAUGAUCAGCCACACUGGGACUGAGACACGGCCCAGACUCCUACGGAGGCAGCAGUGGGGAAUAUUGCACAAGGGGCGCAAGCCUGAUGCAGCCAUGCCGCGUGUAUGAAGAAGGCCUUAGGGUUGUAAAGUACGUUCAGCGGGGAGGCGUUACCGGCAGAAGAAGCACCGGCUAACUCCGUGCCAGCAGCCGCGGUAAUUC